UUGUUGCAGUUAAAAAGCUCGUAGUUGGAUUUCGUGGCAGGAGUGACCGACCACACACACCGUGUGUGAGUUGUGUCAUUCUGGCCAUCCUUGGUGAGAUCCUAUUUGGCAUUAAGUUGUCGGGUAGGGGAUAACCAUCGUUUACUGUGAAAAAAUUAGAGUGUUUAAAGCAGGCUUAUGCCGUUGAAUAUAUUAGCAUGGAAUAAUAAGAUAGGACUUUGAGUCUAUUUUGUUGGUUUGCGAGUCAAAGUAAUGAUUAAUAGGGACAGUUGGGGGUAUUCGUAUUUCAUUGUCAGAGGUGAAAUUCUUGGAUUUCUGAAAGACGAACUACUGCGAAAGCAUUUACCAAGGAUGUUUUCAUUAAUCAAGAACGAAAGUUAGGGGAUCGAAGAU
rnacentral:rRNA from 1 species